UCUAUUCCUGCUCUGGUAAUAUGUUGUCCUCUAUAACUAUGGUAACAGAGGCUUGCGGCUGAUUAUGACCCCAAAGUUUUUUAAGGACGUCACUUGAUGGCAAGUGGUAUCCUGGCCAAGAACUGCAUUUAAACUGAGAUCCUUGAAAAAGAGAGGCUCCUGGGAAGAGCCAGGGCUGAGCCCUCCUGAAGUGCAUGAUAUUCCAGCAGGUUCUGGUAGAUACAGGGAACUUUUCCUGGAAUCUACCCUUUGUGAGGUAUACCUCCUGUCUCCUCACAUUCUAAGACUUUAAAAUGGUACAGAAACAAACUUCCCCAUCACCUUCCUCAUGAGCGUGUUGAAAUAAGAGAGGCUGAGCUGUUUUGGGAGCAGCAACCUUAGCAGCAAGGCAUGAAGGGACCAUUGCCACCACACUGCCCCUUCCUCCCAUCCCAGCUCCUCAGAUCCUGACCUGCCUCACGCUGCGAUCUCAGGUACAAAACCACCUCUUGCUCGUGGGAAGGUGCAGGGAAACCUCCCUGUUUCUCUGACCGUGUCUCCAUACCUGACUUCCCAGCACCCCCACGGCAGCCUGGGGCUCAGACAAUCACCUCUGAGAGUCCUUAACCGGAAGAACCUGGCUGGGGAGCCACUGAUCUCUGAAUGCAAGGCUAUCUUCUUCCUGCUAGUUUCAGAAUCUUGCAAGGGCUCUAGUCAUUGCUUGGCUUAACUGGAAGUGGGGAUUAAAAGCUCCUCCUCCAAAGGGUUUUUGGUGGGGAGGUGUUCCAUGAACUACCACAUAUAAAGUGCCUGACACAGAGACAGCAAACAUUCCACAAAUGUUUGUUCUUUCCUCAUCUACUGCCUGACCAGCUCAGGUCGCACCUUGUCCCUCAUCUACUCCCUUUUCCUACCUCACUUCCAAAGGAUCCAUCUCCCCUGCUACUACCUCUGUGUGCUUUUCCAUAAACACCCCAUCAGCUCCCACUGUCCAGCUCUUCACACCCCUUAUGAGCUUCAGAGCCUGGCAACUCCAACAGCUCUAAGUGCCCCCAACACAGGGGGACAGGUACAGAGGCCCCGGGUCCAACCACUGCUCUCUAACAGCAGUUCCCUCUUCUGGAAGGUGACAUCCUAUAGCUGCGUGUUCCAUAUGCUCCGUGAUGGGACCUCUGCCAACCAAUUACGUGGCCUUGGACAAGUCCCCCUCAAACCCUCUGGGUCUCCUUGGCCACGGAAUAGAGAAGCUGGUUUGGAUCCAGUGAAUUUUAUGGUCCUAGUUCUAUUAUUAAGCCAAUAGAUGAACUAUGACAUGUCAUUUUACAGCCUUGCUGAAGCUCAGUUUUCCCAUCUCUAGACUGGGAUAACAAUGCCUGCUCAACCAGGUGGAAGUGUGGUAUUCAAAGUAUCGAACAACUGAAUGAACACUGGAGGGGCCGGAAGGGGAGCCUUCUGGAAGUGGCCAUUUACCUAUCAGUAGGGAAGUAUUUUAAUAUUUUAAUAACUGGCGCAUUGCAACCUGGUACAGUCAUACAGGCGGUGUGGCUCUGGUAGGCAGUGUGUGAUGCUGUUAUGAUUCAACACGGUACAAGGGAUUCAAGGAUUCAAUCCAGUGCACAUUUCGCCACCUCCAUCACCUUCCACGCACUUUCCUGUUUGCUAUCUUGUUUCACAGCCAACACAUACAGUCACGGCCACAUUCAUGGUAAAAGAACCAAGGACACCCAUGACCUCGUUCAGUUCCCACAAUGACAAGGAACAAAAUAUUUUCACCAGAUCAUCUUACUGAUUUUUGUCCCCAGAUGAUUAUCUAGCCCCCAUACAGAAUUCCUCAAAAACAUAAUAUUUUUCUUCUUCUUCUUCUUCUUCUUCUUCUUCUUCUUCUUCCUCUUCUUCUUUUUUCAAGGAAGAGAUUUCUCUGAACUAUAAAUGGAAAGGGCGAGCUCUUGGAGGUGGAGAGCACCUGCAUUUAACAAGAUUAUUUGGAGACAAAUGCAUACAUUCAAGAACCAGAUUCCCCUGGAGGCUGUUUUGCUUGUGGCUACAUUCUGCAGUUGUAAGAACUGAGGGCUGAGAGUGGCCGUGGCGUGAAGUGAAAGAAAACCUUCAGUGUCUUGGCUUUUAGGAGGUGGCUCCGGUGGGCUCCAGGUCGACUGUCCAGCCCCACGCAUGUUUUGGUUUUCGGGGAAAUGCACACGGAAGUAAAGAUAGCAAUGCUAAUGGCAGGGAGCAGGAACAUCAAGCCAAAGUAUGAAAGCACAAAGAUGCCUUUCUAUCUACCAUGUCCAGCAUGUCAGUGGCUGCUUUAUACAGAGGUUUCAUUGCAUAUUUAAAUAAUUGAACAAGGACAUAAAGCACGCUGCUGAGCUGAGAGAGAAAAGAAAGACUGCCCUUAGGGCUGGUGCUGCCUGGGGAGGCAGGUGGUAGGCUUGUGGAUUUACAGCCCCCCGUGUGUGUACAAGAUGAGGGCUCUAAUUCUCCUAGUUGUUACAGCAAGAUUGGGGAAAUGUGAAGCUCUGGGGGGAGUGCAGGGCAGGGGCAGCUAAGGAAUAAGUGAUUUGCGGGGCAUCACUCGCCACAACUGUCGCCUCAGCCCCCAUCAAUUCCAAAGAAGCCAGCCCUAGCCCCAGCCAACCCCCAAAUUUACACUCACCUUCUCAGACCCAUGAUGCCCAAUACAAAAAUGUAACGCACCAUAUAUUUUCUUGCUGUUCCCCAAGUUUAUAAUGCCAUUAGCGUGAUCUACGAUGGGCUGGUUUAUGGAGAGAGCAAAGUAAUAAUACAGAAAGGAAAUACCCAUAACCUCAAGGGGGGUGGUGGGGCAGACGAGAUUGAUGGAAAGUGCAAUUGUCUGGAGAAACGGCAACCCAGUAAUGGAAUACCUGGGGUGGGGGUGGUGCAUGGAUUGGAAGCAAGUUCUUUAGCUGGCUUUGGCUUUGUUUUCUCAAAGGAAGGUGAAGGGCAUGGCAAGGAUGGUUUUGAUCCCUUGGGUUGGGCCCCAGGAAUGGCUCCUCUUGCCAGAAUCACUUAUAAGGUAGAUGGCCCGAUUUCUCUCCAGAGUCCAACAGCAGGUAAAUGCCCUUGGCCUGUCCUAUCUCAGGACAUGGGGUUUAUUUCAGCACGAGGGGCAAACAGCAGUCCAGGGGCUAGGACCGUCCUCACCCUGCCAACACUUCGGUCUUGGAGAGGACUGACAAUUGGGUUCAGCAGAUUUUACAAUACCCAUCUGUCCACAGCUUCAUGUUCGGGGUGUCGGUAGGGGAUGUUAGGAGAACCUUAUGAGCACUGCUUCAGAAAUCAGACAGAAUUCAUUUUGCCUCUUCUGAUCUUACACCUGCUCUCUGGAGUACAUGCUGGUUGAACUUCAAGAAGAGGGAGGGCCUACAGGAACUUUCUCUCUGAGCCUGUGCACCGUGGGCCUUCCUAGCAAAGCCCAUCUGGUCUGGCUCCUAGGGAACAGCUUCAGCUGCAGCUGACUUUGCAUCCCAGUUUAGAUGAGAAAUAACAGUACAAUAGUCUAUGGAGGAUAAAUUCUUGUCAGUGGAUUUGUUUUUCCAUGGAAGUUCACCUUUGUUUCCUAUGGAUCACUGUUAUUAAGUGUGUGGGCCUGAUGGGGGUUCAGGGGAGGCUAUGGCAGAGCCUGGGGAUUCCAGAGCCACUCAGGGACCAGAGGCCCUUCCCGCCUAGUAGACAUGGGGUCACGGCCAGGUUAAUGGCUGCCCUUGGGAAAGGCCAUUCCACUGGGAAGCAAGAAGUCUGUCCUGACUUUGGGAGAAGGGCUGAGCACAGGAAGACUCACCCUACUUCUGCUUUCCUUGACUUCCUGUCUCUUUUCUUUUUGGUAUGUAGGAUCUGGCAGUUGAUCUAAAGACCCAGCCUUGUUAUCCCAAUGCCAUCAUUAGUUGAAACAAAAUCAUUCCUUGUAACCGGAAUAUAGUUACUGUAAACAACAUACGUUUAUUGGGCAUUCUGUUUCUAAUAAUUGUAAUUAUGCUAGAAUACUUGCCAUUAAUAUAAUAACAACAAUGAUCGACCAGUUCUCUGUUCCAGACCAAUAACUUCACCUGAAUGCACUCUUUGUUCAGGGGGAAAAAAAAGAGGUAAUUCAACAUCCCUGGUGACAGUCAACAAAGCCAGUGUUGAAACUGGAAGACGCAUGGAUGAAAGCCUUCCUGGGGAUAAAAGAUGGUGCUGGAGAGCCGAAGAGCCACCUGGCAGACUCCCUCUUGGCUAACAAAAAGGCCCUGUCUGUGUCCCCACACUCAAAGGUUGAAAGGAAAUGAAAACCCAGGGACUUCCAGAAGAAUCUCUGGGCCUGAGCCUCACUCUCAUCCUGUGGGGAUGGAUCUGGGCCUGGGUGUCCCCUGAGGCUGAGGGGGAGUCUCCUGGUAGGUACAGCAAGGAGACCACAGUCUGGACUUAACUUCAUCCUGUAAGACCACUUCUUACGCAUGGACUCCUCCUUGGUGCUUUCCGGCUUAUUUCCACUUACAAUUAAAGAAUCUAAAAGAUCAUGUAGA